CCCUUAGAUGUUCUGGGCGGCCCGCGCACUACAAUGGCGUGUGCAGCGAGUGCCGAAGUAGCGUUUUCCGAGGUAUUCUUGCAAUGCUCGUUUUGAUGGGGAUAGACCCUUGCAACUGUUGGUUUUGAACGAGGAAUUCCUUGUAAGCAUGGUUUAUCAUCCGACGCUGAAUGCGUCCCUGCCCUUUGUACACACCGCCCGUCGCUCCUACCGAUGAGUCGUCCGGUGAAGUUCGUAGACCUCGUGAUUGCGGAUCACUGGGGGAAGCAAAAUGAACCUCGCGGUUUAGAGGAAGGAGAAGUCGUAACA
rnacentral:rRNA from 1 species